rnacentral:rRNA from 1 species
CCGGCGACCGGCGCACGGGUGAGUAACACGUAUGCAACCUGGCCGUGACAGAUGGAUAACCGGGAGAAAUCCCGCCUAAUACAACAUAAUGCCGGGAGGGGACAUCCCCUGCCGGUCAAAGGGGGCGACCCCGGUCAUGGAUGGGCAUGCGGCGCAUUAGGUAGUUGGUGGGGCAACGGCCCACCAAGCCGACGAUGCGUAGGGGUUCUGAGAGGAAGGUCCCCCCACAUUGGAACUGAGACACGGUCCAAACUCCUACGGGAGGCAGCAG